UACGGAGGAUCCAAGCGUUAUCCGGAUUUAUUGGGUUUAAAGGGUGCGUAGGCGGCCUAUUAAGUCCGGGGUGAAAGACGGUAGCUUAACUAUCGCAGUGCCUUUGAUACUGAUGGGCUUGAAUGUACUUGAGGUAGGCGGAAUGUGACAAGUAGCGGUGAAAUGCAUAGAUAUGUCACAGAACACCAAUUGCGAAGGCAGCUUACUAAAGUAUGAUUGACGCUGAGGCACGAAAGCGUGGGGAUCAAACAGG
rnacentral:rRNA from 1 species